GUCAUCACCGUUACGUCACUGAUCACAAGUGCGGAGAUUUUCCCUUACUCCUUAGUACUCUCGUUGCUCAAAAAUCUACUUGUUCAGAAAGUUCAGAAACCACAGGGUCGACCAGUCACUUCUUUCGCACUUUCUACGUUGAGCAACACGCAAAAGUGGAGGGGCUGUCUCAGAACCUCGCCGAUAUCAUGGAUAGGGGUGAAAAAGCUCUCGCAGGCGAGGAAGAAAAGGACAUUCCAAGUCAUCGAUUCCCUCCCGAUCAAACGAACUGCCGAACGAUAUUUUUCAAAGGCGAACGUCUUUCGAUCUACAACCAAAAAACACAGCACUUAAAGACAUCAGUGGAAGAUGUACAAGAGUACACGGAAUAUGAGGUUCCUCCUGGGUACACUUGCUAUGUUAUAGGUGCUAGCGUUUAUUUCAGACCUUAAGAGGCUAUUGCACGUCGCAUUCCGAAGACACUGUUCAGAUGAUAUCCAUCGUCAUGACCACACCAGAUGGUGAAUGAGACGUCCUGUGUUACGUCCUUUGGGAACAAACUAGCCAGACAUCCCGUCUCGUUUAGCUUGUGCUUUCUUUCCCACUCCCACAGCCGACUGUUCUCGAUCGCUGUUUUAAAAGGCUCUGGUAAGGAUGAAAUAAUGCUGGCUGGAGAAUUUGUGAACAUAUAUUUCAUCUCUAUCAACAAUAACAUUAGUUUCAUGUAUAUACUUAAAGAUUGCCUUUCUUACCUCUCUUUGCACGAGUGGGGGAAGGCGUCCGAUGCUCGUUUCCCAUUCCAGACCUAGGAGACUUUAAAUCCGCCUCGUGGCUUUCCUCAUUAGGGUCACUACGCAUGCGUUUUCUUGCCGGUUCAUUGUCGGGUGCAUCGCGCUCGUUUGUGUUACCGAUCUGGAAUUCGAGCUUAUGAUAACCUAGGUUCAUGUUAACAGCCGAUACGGCAGAAGGGAGCGGCUCAUACUCUCAAGGAAGGCAAGUGUGUUUGGUUGCCUUGGCGCCCGUGCCAUAACUUGCCGGAUUUGCUCCAACGAUAUCCAACCC
rnacentral:sRNA from 1 species